UCUACAAUCAGAAAGGCAAAGAAAGAAAACAGGGAGCUCGAGGGGAAACAGGAGGGAAGAAAGAAGGGAAGGGAAGACAGGGGAAGAGAGGAGAGGAACGAGGGAGAAGAGGAGGAGAGUGAGGGAUCCAGCUUGUCGCCGCUGUCUGUCCUCAUCGCUGCCAGGGUGAGGAGCCGUGCAAGGGGAUCAACUGAAGAGAGGGAAGUCUUCCCCAUUCACGUCGCCGUCGCACACCACGUCGGGUCAAAGUCGUGAGGUCUUCGCCGACACUUUCUGCUCCGUCGUUGUCUUCGCGGAGAACCAUCAUCGCUGCCGCUGCCGUUGAUGGAACCGUUGUCGUCGGAGGAGCCACUGCUGGGAGAAGCCCUAGCCAUCACCGUCGCUGUUUAACGGGAGAAAGAAAAGGAGUGGCGCGACGGGAGAGGAGAAGGGGGACCUACGCCUCUGCAACAGCCGCCGGCGAGUUGCACGCCACCGUGGAGUCACCAUUCUGCCGCCGUUCAGCUGCUGCCACUAUUUCUCGAUUUGACGAACAUCGUCCUUGUUCUAGUUCCAGUUUUUCCAAUUUCUGAAACCUUCAUUGCUAAUUCAUCUCUUGGACAAUCAUAAUUGGCGUGGUUAUUGCUGUUGUUGCUGCUCCGAAGGAGUUGAGGCUACUGCCGCUGCUCUGGCUGUAUUGAGGGUUGCUGCCGCUGCUGAAAAUUAAGGAUAAAGAAAGGGGAUUAUCGCGGUUAAUUCCUACGGGUUCGACAAAUCAAGGUAGGGAGUUUAAUUUAAAUGAUUUUAAUUAAAGAAUGCUUGUAAAAUUGAUUGGAUAUCUGCAAAUAGGUUUAAUUAUUGUGAGUAAUUGAUUGAUUAGAUGGAUGUUGAAUUGUGACGGUGAAAUGUGAUUGGGAUUGUUGAUUUAGUGAUAUUGAUUGAUUAUAUAGAUUGUCAAUUGUUAGACAAAUAAUUGAUGUGAAUGCUGAAUCUUGGUGGAUUAAAUUGAAA